CUGGUGCAAAAAAAUUUCUGACUAUAAUUAAUUUCAGAUUCCCAUACAAGGCUAAACUAACCCUACUGGGCUAUCAAGCUUAAACAUGUA